GCUCGCUCCGGUACCUGGAGGCUGCAGCUCCGCAGCGGGAGCAGGGCCCGGCCCGGGCACGGGGGGUUAAUGGGUCUCCCCGGCACAGACCCUCCUGCUCCGCCCGGGCUCCCCGGUCACAAUGGAGCAGCAGCCGCGCGGCGCUCACCCAGCAGCUGAUCACACUCAGCCCCGCCCCCAUCUGUGCAUGCCCAGAGCCGGGAAACGCAACCGGAACUACAUCUCCCAGCCUGCCCCGGGGCGCUUCCGCCCUCUCCAGCUCAGAUGAGGCCAGGGGAGUUCUCUGUUCUUCAUUCUGUACACUAAUGGAGAUGACUUAAACUUGUCACCCUGGCUUGGGGCGAGUACGACAGUCAAGAGGCUUUGCAGGCCGCAUUGGGAAGGGAAUCGUAACCACCAUGGGAGGGCUACGCUGAGGGGAAGGGCCCUUCAACUGGAGCCUGAGGGCAUCCAUUUUGAAUCUAAUCGCGGACCGGAAGCAGAAAAUAGUCACCAUUCCCAGAGAUGCCCAGCUAAAGAGGAAAUUUUCAGUAAGAGCUCGCUGCUGGUUCACACAUGCAUGUAGACAGCAUCCAUGCUGGUGUCUGUCAGUGAGGUUUCUCUGUCUGUUCUCUCAAAUGUUUGCCUACUUGUUUUCUGGCUGGUGAUGGCUGAAAGGAUUUAGUAUCCAAGGAAGGAAGCAUCCUCCUGGUUAGCAAACAAACAAAGCAGCAUAUUCCGUGUCCAGAUUAUAUUUAGUCAUUAAUCGACAUUGUGAUGGUCCUCCCCCCACCCCCACACACAGGAAAGUUACCCUUUCUUUAGGAAAAUGACGAAGUACGAAUGCCAAACACAAUUCCAAUAGAGGAUUCAAAGCAAGCUUUUCUGCAUGGUAAUUAUAAAGGCUUUAAUUUAAAUCAGUCCACCCUGAGAUGACCAAUUAAGAGUUAUCUUCACUGAAGGCAGUUGAGGUCUAAACCCUUGGUUUUGUAUGAAUGGAAAUUUGUUCCAUUUACUCACCCUAAUCUGGUUUCAUGAGCAUUGUCUGGGGUGCAAGGAGAGGCCAGUCCAAUGAAGACACAUUACUUUGGAUGUUCAGUAACUCCUCACUUAAAGUCGUCCCGGUUAACAUUGUUACGCUGCUGAUCAAUUAGGG